rnacentral:rRNA from 1 species
UACGUAGGGUGCAAGCGUUGUCCGGAAUUAUUGGGCGUAAAGAGCUCGUAGGCGGUCUGUCGCGUCUGCUGUGAAAACUCAGGGCUUAACCCUGAGCUUGCAGUGGGUACGGGCAGACUAGAGUGCGGUAGGGGAGACUGGAAUUCCUGGUGUAGCGGUGAAAUGCGCAGAUAUCAGGAGGAACACCGGUGGCGAAGGCGGGUCUCUGGGCCGGAUACUGACGCUGGAGGAGCGAAAGCGUGGGGAGCGAACAGG